rnacentral:rRNA from 1 species
UACGAAGGGGGCUAGCGUUGUUCGGAAUUACUGGGCGUAAAGCGCACGUAGGCGGAUCGAUCAGUCAGGGGUGAAAUCCCGGAGCUCAACUCCGGAACUGCCUUUAAGACUGCAUCGCUAGAAUCAUGGAGAGGUGAGUGGAAUUCCGAGUGUAGAGGUGAAAUUCGUAGAUAUUCGGAAGAACACCAGUGGCGAAGGCGACUCACUGGACAUGUAUUGACGCUGAGGUGCGAAAGCGUGGGGAGCAAACAGG